rnacentral:tRNA from 1 species
GGGGUCGUGGCGCAGCUGGGAGCGCGCUUGCAUGGCAUGCAAGAGGCCGUGGGUUCAAAUCCCAUCGGCUCCA